CUUUCUUUCCUUGCACCCUGUUCCUUUGCCCCACAUUCAGUGUGAAAACUCACAGACAUGAGCAGCCCCUGAUGACUUCUUUCUGUACCCUUGGAUCCAUUUGGAUCGGAGCACCUGGAUAGGAGCAGGAGCCAGAGGGAACCUCUUAGCUGCUGGCAGGAGGCUUGGAAGCCCAGCAGCUUUGAUUACGGAAGAGAGGCCUGUGGGAAUCCUGGAGGAGCUGCUCCUUGAAAGUAUAUGGGGAAGUGGAUCUAAGUGGCCCCGGGGGAGAACACAGGCAUGUUCUCCCAGACUCCUUCCAGGAAGAACUAGCUCUGAGGCAGAGUACAGUCAGCAGAGAGCUUCCAGCUUUCAGCUCUGCCUCAGCGGCAGAGUCAGCUCGAAUUCCCACCAUUCCUGGGGAUGCCUGCAUUUACCUGGUUGCUGAGUGACACUGAUGGGUAUACUCACUCCAG
rnacentral:lncRNA from 1 species